UACCGACAUUUUGACAGUCAUCAUAUACAGUAAAAACAAUGCAUGGACGAAUGAACUGCUGGUUAACUCACCACGAAGUUAAGUAAGAUAGUACAAAGUUUUCUGUAGUCCAGGAUAGAAAUCUAGCAAGCAUCUUGGCAAUUGGGAAGGUAAAUAGCCGUAGGAAGGAAAAAAAGCAGUAAGAAAAUCGUGAAGACGUCGAGUUUCCGCCACAAAAUCAUUCGGUCACGCAAUGGCAGGUUUAGCAAUUCUCACUAUUUGAAAAAAUUAAUAAAAGACAGUCGCACCGGUGAACGGUACGCUACGUGAAGUUCUCCUUACAUACAGAGGCGAUCUACUUGAUUACGAUUGGUGCCCUUCUAACUUUUUAAAAGUCCCGCGACACGACACUAUAUAAUUUACGGUCGAACGUCCUCGCAUACGACCAGCCUUCUACGUUCUGGAAGCUGCGCUCCUGGGCUCCUUACUGACAGUAAAAUGCGUCACGCUCCUGGGACUCGUGGAACAAGAGCCCCCUCAUGUUAAUACCAACCCGACUUCGUCUUCAAGAGUAUCUGGUAAAAAUCUCUUCGGCGAUACAUGAAACACAUACGGGACUCCCUUGAGAUCCAAUUUGCCAAGGAGAAUCCAAGCUCGACUGUAUAUACAACUCUUCGUUCCUUCGACAUCCCUUGGCUACUAUUUUCUCUUCUACGUGACUCACAAGUCAAUCCUCUGGCUGCCCUGACGUGACAGAAUGGCGCCGCGCGCUCUGCGACAAUACCAACCGAGCCAACCGUCUUGCGUCCUCUCCCUCUUCUGUAAUGUCUACACUUCACAUAUAUUGUUAUAUCUUAUUAUGUGGACGGAAAGCAAAGGACAAAGAAGAGACAGGGGGAACUUUUCCUCGAAGGUACAACAUAGAAUUGACAAGUGGUAAACAGAGAAACGUAAAGAUACGUUAAAAAAAAAAACCCUUAAACUCAGACUUAUACCGGGACAGUCAACCAGUCAGAUUAUACUAAAGCCGAGUUGAACCCUGUGAUUCGUUGGCAAAGACCCAAGCAUUGUGUACAUUUAGUAUCCGUAGAACGCCAUUCUCCUUCGUCGUUCAUUGUGCUCUGUGGGAAGUUCGUCGGUGGAAUCUCACGACGCUCGACGUCCCUCGUUUCUUCUUAGGCUUCUUAAUUACCGAACGAACGUCGGCGAGGCCCUAUCUGCUGAGCUUGUCAGCAACAAGCUAUGCCCUGCGUAACUUCGUUUCCCACGAAUGAACUCCGGACUAGCGUGUCUCCCGGUGCGUGCGUCAACAACACACCCCACCCUCUUGCCGUUGGAAUUUCAACGAAGGACAAUGUGAUACAGGAUUUAUUGGAAAGACUCGAAGAGGGACCUAAGAGACGUAGAUACUUUCUCCUGGUCGUCUUUGAUCAAAAUUGUACAAUGGAAUAGACACUAGAUCGUGACACUCUUCGAAAACUAAUAUACCGGCGAUACUUUUUUGUGGAAUCGCCUUGACGGACGGAUUCAGUCCGUUCUCUGCUGCGUAGACUAAACAAUUCUUGUGGACUCGUAGAAUUUGAACCUUAUAUAGGUUAGGUGUGUCUGCGUACCGCGCUAUUGUAAGCAUUUGCCAGGUAUGAUUCGUAAACGUCUCGAACCUGAAACGUUCCAUGUAUUUUUCUACCAUUUGAAUUUUUAACUUGGAGAUAUAUGUAGCAAAUUAUUACUUACCCGAGUCUAGGGAUUUCUAGGGUUAUUUGAAAGCGUUCGGGAUACUUGUGUAUUUUAUUUAAUAAUUGGUAGCUUGUUCAUUUUUUUUUUAUCGACUUAGACUUUCUAGCACGAGUGUCGUAAACUCUACUAGGAAUAAUUCGAACGACAGGCUAUGGAGGUAUUUGCGGGCAGCACCACGUAAUUACAAGGAUAAUACCCGACACGCUCUCCUCUCUCCUUGACGCGUGACUCUCUUUUAUUUUCUUCAUAGAGGCAGAGUCGAGCUAACGAGAAUUUCAGGGAAGAGUGCAGUCCCGAUAUUCCAAUGGAUUCCUCAGCAAGCACGAAGAACAGUCUACCUGGACAUUAGAAAAGAAUCUCAUAUAUGAAGCAUAGACAUCGAUCUCAUUACCACUUCUUUGGACUUCUUCUUGACCUAACCUAUAAGUAUACACCGUAUGAACUUCGGGUACUGUUCUAUAAUUUGUGGCGAAGCAAAGCAAGACCAAAGGAACUUGACUUCGUUACUGCGAUACUUAAUCCAAAAAGUGUUAAGAGGAUUCCUUGGAGAUAUUCCGAGAGAAGAGACUGCCCAAUGAAAUUCUGGCAGAUCCUACUGAGCAUUCUGCUCAGUGUAGCCAUCUUGGCUACUGUCGGCUGGAGCAUCAUCUAUUUCACGGUCGCACGGAUGUUGCAGCUGAUGAUACAAUCGCCUACCGACAUUGCCCGUAUUAAGUAAUCUCAUUACUACGCUGUAUGAAAUUCCUGAGAAUAAAUUGUAUCGAGAAUCGUGAAUGGAAGACGUCAGUGUUGAUGGACGAUGGCGUUAGGCUAGAAAUCGAUUGGCCG